UCUUUUUCCGGCAAAUUCUGUUACUGGAACAAGAAGCAAGACUCCUGGGUUCUUGCUCUCUGGAGGUCGACCGUCGUUAGCUCAGGUGGUGAGGACUCCAAGGUUGUUCUUUGUUCGUUCUUCUUUGGACUCUUUGGAGACGAACGUGUCUGACAUGAGUGUUAAUGCUCCAAAGGGGUUGUUCCCACCAGAACCUGAACAUUAUAAAGGACCAAAGUUGAAGGUGGCUAUUGUUGGAGCUGGGCUUGCAGGGAUGUCAACUGCAGUGGAGCUAUUGGAUCAAGGUCAUGAGGUUGAUAUAUAUGAAUCAAGAACUUUUAUUGGUGGUAAAGUGGGAUCAUUUGUUGAUAGACGUGGAAAUCACAUUGAAAUGGGACUUCAUG
rnacentral:misc_RNA from 1 species